UUGCAUCACGCGCGGCGCUAAAAAUAGAAACGGGGUUGGAUCGUGAUCCAGAAAUAGAUAGGGGGCAUCACUCCUAUAAAAGGCACACCAUUCAAGAGUACAGUGUGUGCACAGUUUGAAGGAGCGAAAAGCCAGAGCAUGUUUUGUGGAGGGAAAACUGGCUUUUUUUUGUGGCGCUUUUCGCCUUUUUUUUUUUUUCCAUUUUUGUUUAUUUGUAUUUUUUUUUUUUUUAAGGAGGCUCCGCUGCUACAACGGCUCUAUACGUUGCGCACACACCGCCGGGCGACAGCAGCGAUGACCGAACCACAGCGGGGUCAGCAGGUGGAAUCCAGAGAGCUCGGCACUGAGACAAGGAGAAUGUGACGCAAGAAGACACUGUCCUCACACUCAGUCAUGGGCAGUAUGUCUACUAACGCUUCUACCGGUGGCAUUUUUUCUAUAUCAUUUUCAAUAUGGAUCAGUAGACGUGAACAUCCUUCGGAAAACCCGAGGCGACAAGCGAUACCUUCCGAAUGUUUGAGCUUUUCCGGCCCUUUGGUACGAGACACAAGUCAGCGACCCCUUUAAAUCUGCACUGUGAAACACUUUAAUGAGUCACUUCCAACAGGAGCUCCAGCUCAGAGGGCCCCACGCCUGCCGGGUCCUGGGGUCUCACAGGCGCCCCAUGAGCAAGUAGUGUCCCCCCCUCAGCUCCAGUCCUGCAGCUCACAAACGGGGAGCUCCUGGUUUGGGAGAGUGGGAGAAUGUGUUUCAGCCUUCUCCUCCACGCCGCCUCCCCCCCUCCAGGACUCCCGUCGUUUUCAAUCGGCUCACCUGCGUCAAGGUGGAGGGCUGACAAUGACACCGAAGUCGGAAUAACACACUCAGAGGAGCGUGUUGCUUUAGGUCGCUGUUUUGUGAGGUGUGAGGGAGGCGACAAUAACACGGCCCAAACAUAGGAUAGUAAAAAGAUUUAAAAGGAAUUACAGCAACACAAAUACUAUAGUAAAAGUUAUACUUUUUUUUUUUUAUAUAAAUGCAUUUUAGAUCCAGAUUGUCAAGAUAGUGUGUGUGUGUGUGUGUGUGUCCUUUUGUUUGCAGGGUCACAAUUGAAAUGUCUCUGUAAACAUUUUUAUCAGCUCAUUUUCAUUUUUUAGCGUGAACAAAUCCUCACACUGGUAUCGUGACGUACGCGCUUUGAAUGUUUCGAACUGGGCGAACUCUUGUCGCACCGUGAGAGUCUACAAAGACACACAGAAAAGCAUCAGGAUGUGUCAUCCGCUUGUUUAUUUCUGUAGGGUUUUUUUUGGUGACAAAAGAAUCGCUGAAUAGUUCUGACACUGAGCACAUGUACAGCUUAUUUAGUUCAUGAGUUUAUUAAGUCGUAGAGCUCAUUUGGGUCCACGUUGUGUUUUUUUUUGCAGACGUGUGCGCACAGCCUGAAAUGCAGCGUACAGGCAGAGCAUUAAAAGCAUCUCGCAGAUUUACCUGCAAACAUGACCAAACCCCUGCAGACCACAUCCACGUAUUUGUUCUGUUUCUGAGUGAUCUGUUGGGCAGAGGUGUUUCCGGUCAGAUCAGUCGAUCCUGUUUGCAGUUUGCAGACACUUCACACUGACCGGAUGAAAUAAACCUGUAACUCAUGCUGCAUGUGUCCAGGAGACAUUCCCCCUAAAACAGACGCGCAUUAACUGUCGGGCUUUCGAAAUGUGGAGCUCCCCCCGAUCGCUGACUCGUGGUCCUCUUCUCCGUUUGGCAGCGGGCGACACAAGAGAGACAAAAGACAGAGGGGGCAAGAUGUGUGCAUGUGGUGUGAGAUGUACUCGUGUCUGUGUUUCUGUUUGCGUUACACUUUUAUUUCCUCUGUUCUGCGUGUGCUUCCCUGACAUUUGUUAAAAUGACUCUGACACAAUUUCGUAUCACACCUCACUCCGUCUCGUUUGUCUCGUUUUAGGAAAAGGAAACAUCUGACCCGGCCUGCCGAUGGUAAGUUGACCCCUUUUGCCCCGAUUCCCUCUUUAACUGUAUGCCGUUCACUGUGUGUUUUGUUUCAGCAGGAGCUGUGGUGUUUCAAUAUUAACGAUGCUCUUAACCAUUUAUGCAGGAGCUUGAUAAUAAAAGCAGCGAAAUCUCCUGUCGCGCGUCCUCAUUUGAAGUUGUAGUAAAUGACACGGAGCAGCAUUUGGAGUGCCAUGUUCUCAGAACAAUUGCAAUGCCUGUGUACUGUUGCGCUGCUUGGCAAAACGCUGAAAUAA